rnacentral:rRNA from 1 species
CCCUUAGAUGUUCUGGGCCGCACGCGUGCUACACUGAGUGGAUCAGCGGGUCAGGUUGCGCGAAAGUGUUUCCUAAUCUUGAAAUCCGCUCGUGAUGGGGAUUGACGGUUGCAAUUUUCCGUCAUGAACGAGGAAUACCUUGUAAGCGCGGGUCAUCAUCCCGCGCUGAAUACGUCCCUGCCCUUUGUACACACCGCCCGUCGCUCCUACCGAUUGAGUGGUCCGGUGAGGCUUUGGGAUCUGAGCAAAAAGAGCGUUUCGUUCGUUUGGCUCGGAAAACUCAGUCGAACCUUAUCAUUUAGAGGAAGGAGAAGUCGUAACA